GGAUUUUCCAUGGCCAUUCAAUCAUUGCCAAAAAAAAGGAAGAAAAUAUGCAAGAUAAGUAGUAGCAAGUGAAAUACAAACUAUCCCUAGACCCUAUAUGCUGAAAAGUUAAAAGCACAUAGAUGCGUAACUAUUUGGUUCGAACCCACGACACUUCUGAAUAAGUUUAGGCGCUUCACCAUCAGAGUUGCGCCUUCCUUUGUGACAAGUAAUGUAAUUUUAACAUAUUUGGUUCGUUUUUGUAUACUAAUCAAAUAUAUAUAUAGGUAAAUUUUCCAACGAAGUGGUGUCGGAUGACACCACUUAAGCUAAGGUGGCUCCGCCCCUGCUCCCGGCUACAUUCCAUCCAAAACACGUUUUACAGGUUCAAUCAUAUUGCUACAGGAUUUUCCAUGGCCAUUCCUUUCCAGUUCUGAUGUCUUCAUGAAUAGCAAUUGUCGACAAAACAUCGAACAUUGAACAUCGAAUAUCGAACAUCGAUAGCAAACAUCAAAUCUCAUGGUUUCUAACACAAAAUCAAAACCUGACAAAUAAAUCCCCCAAUUUCGCAAACUAAAAAUCACAAAAUAUAUCGCAUAAUACAAACAAAACAGAAGCAAAAUAAUGGGUUUAUCAGAAAUAUUAUCCAUAAAGAAAAUAGAGGGAGCAAUGAAAUAAUUUUUCAGACUAGGGAAGAAGAAAGCAAAAUCGAAUAGUAAUAGCAAACAUCGAACAGGUAAAACCCGAAAGCCUACCUCAGAGAUUGUGGUAUGUUAGCCGAUAAUGGUCGUCCCUCACCGGAAAUAAUCGUCCUUUACCGGAGCUGGUCGACAGAGUUCGCCGGUGGGUUCUAGGUUGAUGAACAGAGAGAGAGGUGUUUGAGAUUUUGGGGGAAUCGUUGUCUGAGAGUGAAGUCGAUGUCUUCUAGGUUGGUUUUGUGUUUUAG
rnacentral:lncRNA from 1 species